rnacentral:rRNA from 1 species
UACGGGGGGGGCGAGCGUUGUUCGGAAUCACUGGGCGUAAAGGGCGCGUAGGCGGCCCGCACAAGUCUGCGGUGAAAACCUCCGGCUUAACCGGGGGCCGGCCGUGGAAACUGUCGGGCUGGAGGCUGGGAGAGGGCAGCGGAAUUCCCGGUGUAGCGGUGAAAUGCGUAGAGAUCGGGAGGAACACCGGCGGCGAAGGCGGCUGCCUGGACCAGUACCGACGUUCAGGCACGAAAGCGUGGGGAGCAAACAGG